CAAGGUAGGUCUUGCUAUCUGUAUAUUUGCUGCAUUGUUGCCCCAUUCACACUCAAAUGUGUUUCUGAAUGUAUCUGAUAAUUGUCCCCCCUGUAAGGUGAAUGUGUCUGUCCUUGUCCAACUGUAAGGCAAAGUAAUAUAUUCUGGGUGUUUGUUUACUUACAUGGUAGUGAUAAGAUCCAACUUCUGGCGUAUUCUUUGGUGACCUAUGCUGGUUCCUUUCUCAACUCUACUGUAAGGUGAAUGUAUCUGUCCUUGUCCAACUGUAAGGCAAAGUAAUAUUCUGGGUGUAUGUUUACUUGCGUGGUAGUGAUAAGAUCUAUCUUCUGGCGUAUUGUUUGGUGACCUAUGCUGGUUCCUUUCUCAACUCUAUGGUCUAACUUUUUUUGACUAACUGUUAAAGUGAAUAUAUUCUAUCUUUUGUAACUCAAUAACUGAUCUGCAAAAAUCUCUGCAGAAUAUUGUUUGCAGUCUAUUACAUUCUCUUUGAUGAAUGUGGUUUGAAGUUCUUUAUUACCUUCGAUCCCUUUGUAACUUAACGUAAUUGUUUUAUGCAUCUUCCUUAUCAUGUGGGAACUUCAUCUUUUUAUCUCUUGCAGUUUGAAUGUUAUCUCAAGGUAAACAACGAGGUGCACUGCAAAGCACAGUUGUGGCUGGUUCCUUUGUCUUAGAAGGAACGCUAAAUAAAGAUAG
rnacentral:lncRNA from 1 species